GAAUACUGUCUCAAGGCAUGGUUAGCUGCUAAAUUUCAGAUGGAUUUUCUCCUCUCCUUCUGACCCUCCUGCUCUAAUAUGGGACAUUGUAGCUGGACAUGCUCCCUAUAUCAACAAGAAAAGAGGAACCAUUGCAAGAUAACAUCCCAGCAAUGACACCUCAGUGGGUCCAGAGGAAAGCUGCAAGGAUACUCAGGGAGCUGGAGCACCUGCCCUUUGAAGAAAUGCUGAGGAAGCUGGAGCCUGGAGUAAAGAAGGCUCCAGAGGGGAUCUCACUGCAGCCUUCCAGUACUUAAAGAGAGCUGAUAAGCAGGAGGGAGACUGACUUUUUACAGAGUCUGAUAAUGAUAGGGCAAGGGAAAUGGUUUAAAACUAAAACAGGAGAAAAUUAUCUUAGAUGUUAGGUGGAAAUUCUUUACUCAGAGGGUGGUUGGGCACUGAAACAGGCUGCUCAGAUUGUGGAUGCCCCAUCCCUGGCGGUGCCCAAGGCCAGGCUGGAUGGGGCCCUGGGCAGCCUGAUCUGCUGGAGGCCACCAACCCACUGCAAGGGUUGGGCCUGGGGGGGCUUUAAGGUCACUUCCAACCCAAGCCAACCUGAUUCUACAAUUCUAUGUGUGACUGUGCCAACUUUACUCUUCAGUGCAAGAAAACUAGUAAAAGAUCAUUUGGUGGACACAAAGAAGCAGCUAAACAAGAGUCUCCAAUCCAGGAGCACAGUAAAUGCAUUACAACAGAAGAAAUUAGGCUCUGAACCAACUACAGCUUCUUCAGACAGCUUCAGACCACGAAUAUGGCGCAGACAGUGA
ensembl:lncRNA